AACGAACGCUGGCGGCAUGCCUAACACAUGCAAGUCGAACGAGACCUUCGGGUCUAGUGGCGCACGGGUGCGUAACGUGUGGGAACCUGCCCUUAGGUUCGGAAUAACUCCCCGAAAGGGGUGCUAAUACCGGAUAAUGUCUUCGGACCACAGAUUUAUCGCCUUUGGAUGGGCCCGCGUUGGAUUAGCUAGUUGGUAGGGUAAAAGCCUACCAAGGCGACGAUCCAUAGCUGGUCUGAGAGGAUGAUCAGCCACACUGGGACUGAGACACGGCCCAGACUCCUACGGGAGGCAGCAGUGGGGAAUAUUGGACAAUGGGCGAAAGCCUGAUCCAGCAAUGCCGCGUGAGUGAUGAAGGCCUUAGGGUUGUAAAGCUCUUUUACCCGGGAUGAUAAUGACAGUACCGGGAGAAUAAGCUCCGGCUAACUCCGUG
rnacentral:rRNA from 1 species